GUGUGCUACAGAUAUCUGCAAAAAUGUGGUAUUUAAAGCUCUCCUGGCCCUUGGGGCCACACAGGCUUUAAUAUAUUUAACACUAAGUGCCUAGCUUGGGCUGCUUCCUUGUCAAAUUGUCUUUUAAAACUUCUUCCAUUAAACCACUGAGCAAACGAAGACAAAAAUUAAACACCAUCAUCCUUAAGGUAUACAGUUCAAAAUAUGUGUCCUACAUGCCAACCAUAUUGCUGCAAA
rnacentral:lncRNA from 1 species